rnacentral:siRNA from 1 species
UGGCGAUGAUGAUAACAUAUUAU